GAUGAACGCUAGCGGCAGGCUUAAUACAUGCAAGUUGAGGGGCAGCAUGAUAUACGCGAGUAUAUUGAUGGCGACCGGCGGACGGGUGAGUAAUAGGUAGGAGACCUACCUCAUACAGGGGGAUAGCAUAGAGAAAUCUGUGGUAAUACCCCAUGAGGUUAUAUGAAUAGAGGCAUAUAAUCAAAGCAUAAGCGAUUAUGCGGUAUGAGAGGGGCCUACUGACCAUUAGCUAGUUGGUGAGGUAAGGGCUCACCAAGGCGAAGAUGGUUAGGGGUUUGAGAGAGAGACCCCCCACAUUGGAACUGAGAGACGGUCCAGACUCCUACGGGAGGCAGCAGUAGGGAAUAUUGGGCAAUGGGCGAAAGCCUGACCCAGCCAUGCCGCGUGAAGGAAGACGGCCUUAUGGGCUGUAAACUUCUUUACUACGCGAAUAGAGGUUAGACGAGAUACUAAUAGGAAGGUAGUGUAAGUAAAAAGCAACCGGCUAACUCCGU
rnacentral:rRNA from 1 species